rnacentral:rRNA from 1 species
AUUGAACGCUGGCGGCAUGCCUUACACAUGCAAGUCGAACGGUAACAGGUCUUCGGAUGCUGACGAGUGGCGAACGGGUGAGUAAUACAUCGGAACGUGCCUAGUAGUGGGGGAUAACUACUCGAAAGAGUGGCUAAUACCGCAUGAGAUAUAGGGAUGAAAGCAGGGGAUCGCAAGACCUUGUGCUACUAGAGCGGCCGAUGGCAGAUUAGGUAGUUGGUGGGAUAAAAGCUUACCAAGCCGACGAUCUGUAGCUGGUCUGAGAGGACGAUCAGCCACACUGGGACUGAGACACGGCCCAGACUCCUACGGGAGGCAGCAGUGGGGAAUUUUGGACAAUGGGCGCAAGCCUGAUCCAGCAAUGCCGCGUGCAGGAUGAAGGCCUUCGGGUUGUAAACUGCUUUUGUACGGAACGAAAAGCCCCGGGUUAAUACCCUGGGGUCAUGACGGUACCGUAAGAAUAAGCACCGGCUAACUACGUGCCAGCCGCCGCGGUAA